rnacentral:rRNA from 1 species
GACGAACGCUGGCGGCGUGCUUAACACAUGCAAGUCGAACGGAAAGGCCCUGCUUUUGUGGGGUGCUCGAGUGGCGAACGGGUGAGUAACACGUGAGUAACCUGCCCUUGACUUUGGGAUAACAUCAGGAAACUGGGGCUAAUACCGGAUAGGAGCUCCUGCUGCAUGGUGGGGGUUGGAAAGUUUCGGCGGUUGGGGAUGGACUCGCGGCUUACCAGCUUGUUGGUGGGGUAGUGGCUUACCAAGGCUUUGACGGGUAGCCGGCCUGGGAGGGUGGCCGGCCACAUUGGGACUGAGAUACGGCCCAGUCGCCAACGGGAGGCAGAGGUGGGGAGUCUUGCACAGUGGGCGGAAGCCUGAUGCGACGGCGCCGCGUGCGGGAUGACGGCCUUCGGGUUGUAAUCCGCUUUCGCCUGUGACGAAGCGUGAGUGACGGUAAUGGGUAAAGAAGCACCGGCUAACUACGUG